UAGGGAAUAUUGGACAAUGGGGGCAACCUUGAUCCAGCCAUGCCGCGUGAGUGAAGAAGGCCCUCGGGUUGUAAAGCUCUUUUGUCCGGAAAGAAAAGCUUCGGGUUAAUACCCCGGGGUUCUGACGGUACCGGAAGAAUAAGCACCGGCUAACUUCGUGCCAGCAGCCGCGGUAAUACGAAGGGUGCAAGCGUUACUCGGAAUUACUGGGCGUAAAGCGUGCGUAGGUGGUUGUUUAAGUCUGAUGUGAAAGCCCUGGGCUCAACCUGGGAAUGGCAUUGGAAACUGGGCAGCUAGAGUGCGGUAGAGGGUAGUGGAAUUCCCGGUGUAGCAGUGAAAUGCGUAGAGAUCGGGAGGAACAUCUGUGGCGAAGGCGACUGCCUGGACCAGCACUGACACUGAGGCACGAAAGCGUGGGGAGCAAACA
rnacentral:rRNA from 1 species